rnacentral:lncRNA from 10 species
AGUGUUGACAAGGAUGUAGAGACAUUAGAACCCUCAUACUUGGCUAUGGGAAUGUAGAACAGUACAGCUGUUUUGGAAAACAGGAAUAUCCAGGCAGAUAAAAGUUUGAUUAUUUUGAGAAUAAUAGUUAUAAUUCUCUAAAUGAGUAUAGAUCUUAAGCUUUUAUUCAUGAAAUAUUAUUGUAUUUCUAGGGUAAUAUUUUCAAUUAAGUAUAUACAACAAUGAAAGUCUGUUAAGGGUGCUCAUCAUGCCUUUUCAUUUUACAUUUUGUCCAAAUCUUUCCUUUUUUUUUUUUUUUUAAUAGAGACAGUCUUGCUCUGUUGCCCAGGCCGGAGUGGAGUGGCACAGUCAUAAUUCCCUGUACCCUUGAAAUCCUGAGCUCAAGCCAUCUCCAUACCUUAGCCUCCCAAGUGGCUACUACAGGACUGACUGAUAGUAUUUUCCUUUGGAAGAUCCUUUUAUAUUCUGUCUCUAUGAAAGAAGUGUUUUCAAUGAAAUAAGAUAUUUAUUCCAAAUCAAUCCUGCACCAGAAGCUCCAUUUCUGCAUUCGCUUCCAGAAAACACAGCAGCCGUAUGUGAAUUUGGGAGUGGUCCCACGAACCGGUUAUGAGACGAGGUUUUGGAGCUGGAUCACACCUGACACAACUGGCAUUGAAAACCUUAUUACCAAGAGCCUCUGGCACAAGGCUGCUAUGAAGAAAUACCCAAGACUGGGUACUUUCUCAACUUUCAAAUUGAGCUGUUCAGAAUGUGUGAAACAAUUUUAAGAUGAAGUCAAAGAUACUUGAAGCAGAAGCUGUAUCUGAGGAAGCUGUAUAUAAACCCAAUUUAAAGCAAGUUUAACCUGCUGAUUGGGAAGAAUUUUUAUGAAAAGCUGUGUGCUUCCUGAUAAGAAAAAAGGCUUUCCUGUUUCGAUCAAACCAGAACCAGAUGAGAACUCAGCACAGGCACUGCAGCCACGGAGGUUUCCAGAUAGAAAAAUUGACACCCCUGAGAUCCCAUAACAUUUUGGGGACUCAUCUGGGAUCUGCGGAAGGAGCUUGACUCUUUUCAUUGGCAAUAAAUGGCGCCCCAACAUGGGGACUCAGAGAAGACUCAGGAGCCCCAAGCAGUUGUCCGAAAUCAGAGCUAAGGUACCAGCCAGGGUUAAUUGAAGACUCACCAAGUUCAAGCUUCUCCUUUGGUGGAACUGUCUCCCUGGCUUGAAAUCAUUGCACCAGAAGAGGCACUGGGACACAGAGCUGAGAUUGAAGAACACUUGAAAAUUAUCAAGAAUGUACUGCGGAGUAUUGAAAUUGCAAGUUAUCAUCAAAGGAAGCUGAAUCAUACCUUCCCUGUUUCAAAUAACAAGCAUCAAGCAUCGUGAUAAUGUGGACACUAAGGAGCAACAAUUUCUCUAAAGAUAAGAAUAAAGAUAGACUUUUAGACUACGAGAUGGGCCUGAAAAAAUAUCUGAUCAAGCUACUCAGUUUUACAGAUGAAGAAGGUGAAGCCUGGGAAAACCUAAAGAACCUAUAUAAGGUUCUCAGAUAGACACCAUGUUAUCUGCUUGAAUGAAGAAAAUUUGGUAACAUGUUUGCUGAUCUUAAUCUACUAUACAUUUUUUUAGCUUGUCAACUUGAACAAGUUUCUCAAUUAUUUCCUCAUCUAUUUUUUCUGAUAAACUUAACCAAAUCUUGUAAAAUGAAUGUUUUGAAAACGUAUAUCUUAAAGGAGCAUUUUCUAAUUUAAUAUUGAUGUUUUAUUAUUUAUUGAAUCAAGGAAGUUAUGCAUAUUUUGCAUAAAUAUGUGCUACCUUAUGUAUGAUAAUAUUUUUCUCCACAGUCACAUAUUAAUCUGUCCUGACAUUUUUCUAUAAUAAACAUCAUUAUCUGAGACAGAAAUGACAGGAAAAAUUUAUCCAUUUUAAUGAUAUCUAAUUAAAAUUUGUGUCUAACCUUAAUUGAAAUAUAUAUAUAUAUUUCAGUUAGUAAAAAAGGAAAGUCAAUUGAUGAUGCAUUAAGUGUCAGCAUUAUUACAUAGAGAUUGGAAGACAUUAGGUACAAAUGUGAAUCUGCAAGAGUACCAUUUGUAUAUUGCUAAUUACUUGAUACUGUGUCUUUUUAAGAAAGCUGUUACUCUUUAUUCACUCUAGAGCAUUUCAGACAAUUAAUUAGGCAUUCAUUAAUAGAUGAUUAAACAUUUUGUCUCUACAUUGCUUGAAAGGAGUUGUAAAUUACAUCUUGCCCAUGUUGCUAAUUUGCUGUCCAGCAAACAGACUUGCCUGUGGAAAUUUUGUAAAUCAAGCUUAUGAUAUAUUGGCCAUAGAUUGUUUGUCUUCCAAUUCCUCUUAGCUGUUGAUAAUGCAAAUCAAGCCACAUGAAUGAUAACCUGAUAGAAGACACUGCUUUGAAAAGCUAUACUCACAUUAAUACAAACUGUUCAGAAUUGUUAUGUGGAACAUUUCUCUCUAUAAUUGAGAAGAUAAACAUGGCAAAUAAUAUGCUGCUUCAUCAAGUUUUGCAUGUGAAUCAUUCCCAAAGUGAACUUUGAAAAGAGCUCCAUAAAUUCCAUCAGAAAACAAUGAAAUAUAAAACAUCACAGUCCUUUACCAUAGCUAAGCCAGCAAAUAAAUAUCAGGUAUAAAAACUCAUAUUGAUAAAAACCAAACUUUACUUAACGUUACAGAAGUCCAAAUGAUUUUAUCAAGAUAAUAUGUGAUUUAAUAUGUGAAUCUAUAAUAAAGAAUUCUGAGGCUGAGUGUGGUGGCUCAUGUCUGUAAUCCCAGCUCUUUGGGAGACCAAGGCGGGUGGAUCGCCUGACAUUAGGAGUUCGAGACCAACCUGGCCAACAUGGCCAGACCCCAUCUCUACUAAGAAUACAAAAAUUAGCCAGGUUUGGUGGCUCAUGCCUGUAAUCCCAGUUACUCAGGAGGCUGAAGCAUGAGAACUGCUGGAACCUGGAGGCUGCAGUAAGCUGAGAUCGUGCCAUUGCACUCCAGCCUGGGUGACAGAGCAAGACUCAGUCUCAGAAAAAAUAAAUAAAUAAAAAUAAAAAAUAAAAAAAUAAAAUAAAAUUAUGGUCACACAAGUUUCUAGAAAACCAACUUAUUUCUGAGAUAGCCCAGAGGUGACAUACACUGACUAACCCACUGAGAGUAUGUUUUAUUCUUUGCUGAACUACUAGAACCUAGACUAGAGCCUCACAUGCAAAAAGCAUUCAGUAAAAAUUGUGUUUACAGAAAAUUACUAUAGGACAAUAAUUAUGUCUUAUAAGUGGGUUUGUUUAAAGGGUUUAUCAUUUAUUCUAAGUCACACAUUUUACUCAGAAAUACUAGCUUUGUCCUGGAAAGUUCAAUUAAAUAGAGAAAAGGAACAAGAACAUACAUUCAAGCCAAAAUAAGCAAAGCUUUGCCUCAAGAAGGGUUGAUGGAAAAAACAGAAAACAGAAAGCACUACAGUUUAAUGAGUUACAGACUGCUCAGCAGAAAAGACAACAUAGACAUAUAAUACAGGUCUUUCUGCUAAUAUAUUCCUUUCUUUGCUUAAAACUAAGUACAGAUAUUACUUUGGAACCCUUUGAAUGUGGGAAAUUAGUUUCCUCCUCAGCAUUGUCCUCUACUACUUUUCGGAGUAUAAUGUGUAUGACAUUCUCUCAGUAAAAUUUUGAUACACUUGAUAGUUGAAGGUUAAAGAAGAGUAGAAAUCAUCUUAACACCUUACUAAUGGGAAAUUUUUUCAUAGGAAUACACAUAAUUUCCAGAAAGUUACCUUUUUAUAGAGGGCAUCAUGCAUAAUAACACCUUUUGGCUCAAAAUAGAAAUUAUUUUUAAGCUUAUACUUUUGCCAUACGUUAGAGCAACUACUGAUUUAGAUUGUUCUGUUUUACUGUUCUAGAAUCAUUCCACACUUGCCUCUUGGCAUCCAUAAUCAGAAAAGUAAAUCAAGAAAUAAACUAUAAACUGAUCAAUGUUUUAUUAUUUUCCUUAUAGCCUUUUAUUUUACCAUGAGGAGUUUCUGUAUGUAAGGCACUUUAGAAUAUGAAUGAUUUUCAUGGCAUACACAUAAGGGACUAUUAAAAACAACUGACAUGUUUUUGGUAAAGUAUUUGACUGUUUAUUCUUCAUGUAACUGAAAAUAUUCAGCAUUGAAAGAGUUUGCAUUUCAUGAUGGCUACAAAGUUGAAAUUUACAUUCUGGUUUCUUAAAGGCAGGAACUACAUUCUGCAAAGGGCAAAUUUCAAAAGACAAAACUUAAUCCUUAUACUAGCAAAAGUUUGAUUAGAUAAGUUCUACAUACUUAGCUGCUUAUAUAAAUACAGGUGGCUGAGGCUGAAAAUGAAUGCCCCAGGAAGAAGUAAAUCAAUUUUACAAAAAUUAUCAAAUGGCAUAAUGAUGGGCACACAAUGCCCUCCACCCACAGCUGUUCUUGCAUUUCUAACAUAAAAGGCAGCACAAGACAGAAGGGAAACACUGACAAAUAGAUUGGUUCUGCCAUUUCCUUAGCAUUAUGUGCCCUGUCACUUUUUGAAUUUCUUAGAUAAGAUGCAAUUUCUCUUUAGUUUUUAAUGCCCUUUUAGAUAUUUUUUGUUACAGGAUUCGUUACCAUGAAUCCAAGGGACUUUAUUUUGGCACUUUGACAGAAAGGAUUGGACUGCUUAAACAAGAACUAAUAAAUAGCUUCCAUUUCCUACAUGAAAAAAGUAAUACAUGUUUAUGCUGUUUCCUGGAUUGCACAUGUAACUGGCAGCAAGAAACACCCUCGGAAUAGUAAUCAUAAAAUAUCCUUGUUUAUUCCAAAGCAUAACUAUAGAAAUGUGUGACAAUCUGAAUUUCUUUUGUAUGCCAAAAUAUGCUGAGAAAGUACUAAUGAAUGCUGUGCCAUUCUAAUUUUGUAUUAAUGAAAUAAUUUAUUAUUUUUUCAGUUUUAAUUAAAAUUGGCUUUGCAUCAAACUGUGCUUAUCACAUUGAUCACAUGAUAAAAAGGGAAUUUUGUCAUUUAUCAAUAAAAAUGAUUAUGUGUAUUAUCU